rnacentral:rRNA from 1 species
GUCAACAGCUCUGCAACCCCCUGGCCUCCGGUAGGCACUACUUGUACUUGGAUGGGUAACCAACUAGGAAAGCUGGGCUGCUGCUGGAA